GACGAACGCUGGCGGCGUGCCUAAUACAUGCAAGUCGAACGCAGGGGGGACGGGUGAGUAACACGUGGGUAACCUCCCAUCAGAGGGGAUAACACUUGGAAACAGGUGCUAAACUGAUACUGAUGGAUGGACCAGCGGUGCAUUAGCUAGUUGGUGAGGUAACGGCUCAACAAGGCCACGAUGCAUCGCCGACCUGAGAGGGGUGUCGGCCACACUGGUACUGUGACACGGCCCAGACUCCGACGGUAGGCAGCAGUAGUGAAUCUUCCGCAAUGGACGAAAGUCUGACCGAGCAACGCCGCGUGAGUGAAGAAGGUUUUCGGAUCGUAAAACUCUGUUGUUAGAGAAGCGGUAUCUAACCAGAAAGCCACGGCUAACUACGUGCCAGCAGCCGCGGUAAUUC
rnacentral:rRNA from 1 species